rnacentral:rRNA from 1 species
AGAGUUUGAUCAUGGCUCAGAACGUACGCUGGCGGCACGCCUAACACAUGCAAGUCGAACGAAGUAGCAAUACUUAGUGGCAGACGGGUGAGUAACAUGUGGGUAUCUGCCCUAUGGCCUGGAAUAACACGAGGAAACUUGUGCUAAUACCGGAUAAGUCUUUACGGAGAAGGCUUUAUGCACCAUUGGAUGAGCCCGCACUUGAUUAGUUUGUUGGUAGGGUAAUGGCCUACCAAGACCGUGAUCAAUAGCUGAUUUGAGAGGAUGAUCAGCCACAUUGGGACUGAGACACGGCCCAAACUCCUACGGGAGGCAGCAGUGGGGAAUCUUGCACAAUGGAGGAAACUCUGAUGCAGCGAUGCCGCGUGAGUGAAGAAGGCCCUUGGGUUGUAAAGCUCUUUCGUCGGGGAAGAAAAUGACUGUACCCGAAUAAGAAGGUCCGACUAACUUCGUGCCAGCAGCCGCGGUAAUACGAAGGGACCUAGCGUAGUUCGGAAUUACUGGGCUUAAAGAGUUCGUAGGUGGUUGAAAAAGUUGGUGGUGAAAUCCCCAGAGCUUAACUCUGGAACUGCCAUCAAAACUUUUCAGCUAGAGUUUGAUAGAGGAAAGCAGAAUUUCUAGUGUAGAGGUGAAAUUCGUAGAUAUUAGAAAGAAUACCAAUUGCGAAGGCAGCUUUCUGGAUCAUUACUGACACUGAGGAACGAAAGCAUGGGUAGCGAAGAGGAUUAGAUACCCUCGUAGUCCAUGCCGUAAACGAUGUGUGUUAGACGUUGGAAAUUUAUUUUCAGUGUCGCAGCGAAAGCGAUAAACACACCGCCUGGGGAGUACGACCGCAAGGUUAAAACUCAAAUGAAUUGACGGGGACCCGCACAAGUAGUGGAGCAUGUGGUUUAAUUCGAAGAUACGCGCAGAACCUUACCAACACUUGACAUGUUCGUCGCGACUUUAAGAGAUUAAAGUUUUCGGUUCGGCCGGACGAAACACAGGUGCUGCAUGGCUGUCGUCAGCUCGUGUCGUGAGAUGUUGGGUUAAGUCCCGCAACGAGCGCAACCCUCACUUUUAGUUGCCAUCAUUAAGUUGGGCACUCUGAAAGAACUGCCAGUGAUAAGCUGGAGGAAGGUGGGGAUGACGUCAAGUCCUCAUGGCCCUUACGUGUUGGGCUACACACGUGCUACAAUGGUAUCUACAACAGGAAGCGAAACAGCGAUGUUAAGCAAAUCCUUAAAAGAUACCUCAGUUCGGAUUGCACUCUGCAACUCGAGUGCAUGAAGCUGGAAUUACUAGUAAUCGUGGAUCAGCGUGCCACGGUGAAUGCGUUCCCGGGUCUUGUAGA